rnacentral:lncRNA from 1 species
AGUCAAGAAGUGCAGGCAGGGAGAAACCUCUCUAAUUGACUUUAGCUUAUGAGGACGUAAUUAGCAACGCAGUGGGAUGUAAUGGGGAGUUUAGCAAAUCUGAUCAGCAGGAUCUUAGCGGUGUUAACCCUUUGGGGGCAGAGAUGCAGCCCCGAAGGCUGCCGUCCAGGCAGACGCUGUGUCUCUGGACAGCUCGCUCAGGAAGGGGAUCACCCACCAGCAGUGCCCCAUGUCCCGCCCCAUGCCAUUAUUAUUAAGAUGAUUGAACAGAAGGGAAACCAGCCCUGACAAGCAAUACUGAAAACUUUACGCAAGAAGAAUCAAAGGAAAGGACUUCGUUUGACAAAUAUCAGGCCCUUGACAGCAGCGGCACAUGCCAGUAGUAGAAGACUUGUGCCAAGCCAGGUGAGGUCCUGUCCCCCCACCAAGGGCAGCUUUGCACCGUGGCCAGUGCCCCCAUUCCCCAAAGGUCCCAUUGGGGUUGGGGCUGCUCUGCAGUGCUGGUGGUGAGAGGUUGUACACCAGAGCCAGCAUUGGCUGCUCAGCACCUCCAGCUCAUCACAGACAUACCCAUGCUUCAUGAAUAUGGAAGUUCAGGUGAGUUCACCUGUAUGUCUUGACCCAUACCUCUGGCACAGGCUUGGGGGCGAUGGGGUCCUCACUGAGCAGUACAGGUGGCCAGGGUCCAAGGAGCAGGGUAUAAGCUUCAUUGGCAGGACCUGCUGAACUUUGCCUGCCCUCUGCCAUGCACAAUUACCAGGAGGUGAUGGAAAGUCUCUACCCAUCAAGCAAACAUGACGUGGUGCAUCUUUUCUUCCAUUUUGAGGACAGAAUGGCUCCAAAGAGAGACUUUUUCUUACACACGGUUUGCAUUUUGUAUGUCCCACCCUCAGAGGGAAGUUUCUGUUCUUCAGUCUCAGCAUUGCCUUUAGUAGCUAAUCACACAGCACAAAGUGCAGACAAGUCCUCACUCCAAUACAUGAGGAGUGCAAAAUUAUUGGUUUGAACGAUGAUUUUUUGAAGAAGAGAAAUGAGGGGAAU